rnacentral:lncRNA from 1 species
AUAUGUUAUUGGUAAAGAUAUUGGAAUUCUCAUGGUUUCUCCCCAUAUCAAUGGUGGUGGUAAACAAGAUUGGAAUAGGUGGUAUCAGAAACAAUUAUCGCUAUUUGUGUGAAGUUUAAACAACUGUUUUCUUCCUAGUUCCUCUUGGUACUCUUGUCUUGUCUCUCUAGUCCUCUUCUUUAAUUUCUUUUCUUCUUCUUUAUUUGUGUAAGUAAUUCUUAUAAGGUUUACAACUUUUCCUUUUAUUGCAGAUUCAAACAUUAUAAAUUUGAGGAGGCUGUUGAUGGGGAUCAAGCAAUUGUGAUGUACACUGUUGCAGAGUGAGAAUUUCCGGUGCAGAAAAUUUGUUUGAUUUUAACUAAAUGUAACGCAAACUUGGGCUUGGGAAAUAGUCUAAAUGUAUUUGGAUGGAGGCCAAGGUAUCAAAGAAGGCCAAAAAAUUUGUUCAUUUUGUUGGAUUAGUCGUUGACGAAAACAUAUGAGAUGUGUGACUGUGUGAGUUGUGGUACAUCCUCUCAGCUUUAACUACUUAAGAGAUAGUUCAUGUUCUUGAUUUAGUUUUAACCAUUGAAAAGAUUGUGAUAAUAUUUCAAAUAUUUAGUAUUUCUCUCUUUUUGCAGGUGGUGUAUAUGUUUAAAUUUUCAUUGCAAUCUCUAUUUGUCCUCUUAUUGCUUCUCUUUGUCCACAUCCAUUGCUUUGAUACUUACAAUGGUGGUUUAAUUGUGGAGUUGUUCAUCAGUGUCUAACGUCUUUUUCAAAAUGCAUGUGUUCAUCGAGAAUGGACUUGGC